rnacentral:rRNA from 1 species
UGGGGGAUAUUGCACAAUGGAGGAAACUCUGAUGCAGCAACGCCGCGUGAGGGAAGAAGGUCUUCGGAUUGAAAACCUUUGACCUUGGUGACGAUAAUGAGGGUAGCCAAGGAGGAAGCUCCGGCGAACUACGUGCCAGCAGCCGCGGUAAUACGUAGGGAGCGAGCGUUGUCCGGAUUUACUGGGCGUAAAGGGAGCGUAGGUGGAUAUUUAAGUGGGAUGUGAAAUACUCGGGCUUAACCUGGGUGCUGCAUUCCAAACUGGAUAUCUAGAGUGCAGGAGAGGAAAGUAGAAUUCCUAGUGUAGCGGUGAAAUGCGUAGAGAUUAGGAAGAAUACCAGUGGCGAAGGCGACUUUCUGGACUGUAACUGACACUGAGGCUCGAAAGCGUGGGGAGCAAACAGG